rnacentral:rRNA from 1 species
GAUGAACGCUGGCGGCGUGCCUAAUACAUGCAAGUCGAGCGAACAGAUGAGAAGCUUGCUUCUCUGAUGUUAGCGGCGGACGGGUGAGUAACACGUGGGUAACCUACCUAUAAGACUGGGAUAACUCCGGGAAACCGGGGCUAAUACCGGAUAAUAUUUUGAACCGCAUGGUUCAAUAGUGAAAGACGGUUUCGGCUGUCACUUAUAGAUGGACCCGCGCCGUAUUAGCUAGUUGGUAAGGUAACGGCUUACCAAGGCGACGAUACGUAGCCGACCUGCGAGGGUGAUCGGCCACACUGGAACUGAGACACGGUCCAGACUCCUACGGGAGGCAGCAGUAGGGAAUCUUCCGCAAUGGGCGAAAGCCUGACGGAGCAACGCCGCGUGAGUGAUGAAGGUCUUCGGAUCGUAAAACUCUGUUGUUAGGGAAGAACAAAUUUGUUAGUAACUGAACAAGUCUUGACGGUAUCUAACCAGAAAGCCACGGCUAACUACGUGCCAGCCGCCGCGGUAA